GGAUUGUGGCUCAGCGGAAGAGCACUUGCCUCGCAAAUGCAAGGCCCUGGAUUCAAUCCUCAGCACCA
rnacentral:tRNA from 1 species